CGCACUCCCUCGGUGAGUCGGAGAAGUCCCGUUGUGGCAGAGUAAGAUGGACGGUAGCUUUGAUUGUGGUGGUGGUGAGCUGGAGCCACCUGAUCACUAACAAAAGACAUCUUCUGUUAACCAACAGCCGCCAGGGCUUCCUGUUGAAAUAUAUAGCAACAAAGGAAGAGAAGAAGCAAAACGGAAAUAGUGCUUACCAGCACCUUAGAAUGAUGCUGCUCAGGACCAGUCUAAGCCUGAAUGUAUCUGCACUGUGAGGAGAAUGUUCAUAGAAGCCUGUUGUGUGCAUAUUUAUUCACAUUUUUGUUAAAUGUUAAAUCGUUUAGCACAGUAAAUCUGAGUGCAUAGUAUGUCAUUUCAUUCCGUUUGAGUUUCUUGAGUGUUUUCUUUAAAUGACUGCAGAGUUGCUGCCCCUUUCUUGAACUAUGAGUACUGCAAUCUUUUUAAUUCUCAGUAUGAGUAUAGCUUUUUGAGCUUGAAGGGGAACUCAACGGGCCUGGUUGGCGUAUGCAAUGAGCAUCAAGAAACCAUCUUGCUGUGGAAACAUAAUUAUUUUUCUUGUCCCUUUUUGAAAGAUCUUUCCUUUUGAUGCCAGUUUUCUUCCUUGUUUACACAAGUUCAACAAUUGGAAAGGAAAAGGCAAUAGUAAGGUUUUCAAAAUGGCAGAGAAAUUUGAAAGUCUCAUGAACAUUCAUGGUUUUGAUCUGGGCUCUAGAUAUAUGGACUUAAAACCAUUGGGUUGUGGAGGCAAUGGCUUGGUUUUUUCUGCUGUAGACAAUGACUGUGACAAAAGAGUAGCCAUCAAGAAAAUUGUCCUAACUGACCCGCAGAGUGUCAAACAUGCUCUACGUGAAAUCAAAAUUAUUAGAAGACUUGACCAUGAUAACAUUGUGAAAGUGUUUGAAAUUCUUGGUCCCAGUGGAAGCCAGUUAACAGACGAUGUGGGCUCUCUUACGGAACUGAACAGUGUUUACAUUGUUCAGGAGUACAUGGAGACAGACUUGGUUAAUGUGCUGGAGCAGGGCCCUUUACUGGAAGAGCAUGCCAGGCUUUUCAUGUAUCAGCUGCUACGGGGGCUCAAGUAUAUUCACUCUGCAAACGUACUGCACAGAGAUCUCAAACCAGCUAAUCUUUUCAUUAAUACUGAAGACUUGGUGCUGAAGAUAGGUGACUUUGGUCUUGCACGGAUCAUGGAUCCUCAUUAUUCCCAUAAGGGUCAUCUUUCUGAAGGAUUGGUUACUAAAUGGUACAGAUCUCCACGUCUUUUACUUUCUCCUAAUAAUUAUACUAAAGCCAUCGACAUGUGGGCUGCAGGCUGCAUCUUUGCUGAAAUGCUGACUGGUAAAACUCUUUUUGCAGGUGCACAUGAACUUGAACAGAUGCAGCUGAUUUUAGAAUCUAUACCUGUUGUACAUGAGGAAGAUCGUCAGGAACUUCUCAGUGUAAUUCCGGUUUACAUUAGAAAUGACAUGACUGAGCCACACAAACCUUUAACUCAGCUGCUUCCAGGAAUUAGUCGAGAAGCACUGGAUUUCCUGGAACAAAUUUUGACAUUUAGCCCCAUGGAUUGGUUGACAGCAGAAGAAGCACUCUCCCAUCCUUACAUGAGCAUAUAUUCUUUUCCAAUGGAUGAACCAAUUUCAAGUCAUCCUUUUCAUAUUGAAGAUGAAGUUGAUGAUAUUUUACUUAUGGAUGAAACUCACAGUCAUAUUUAUAACUGGGAAAGGUACCAUGAUUGUCAAUUUUCAGAGCAUGAUUGGGCUAUACAUAACAACUUUGAUACUGAUGAAGUUCAGCGUGACCCAAGAGCUCUGUCUGACGUCACUGACGAAGAAGAAGUACAAGUUGAUUCUCGAAAAUACUUGGACGGAGAUCGGGAAAAGUAUCUGGAGGAUCCUGCUUUUGAUACCAAUUACUCUACUGAGCCUUGCUGGCAGUACCCAGAUCAUCACGAAAACAAAUAUUGUGAUCUGGAGUGUAGCCAUACUUGUAACUACAAAACGAGGUCGUCAUCAUAUUUAGAUAACUUAGUUUGGAGAGAGAGUGAAGUUAACCAUUACUAUGAACCCAAGCUUAUUAUAGAUCUUUCCAAUUGGAAAGAACAAAGUAAAGAAAAAUCUGAUAAGAAAGGCAAGUCAAAAUGUGAAAGGAAUGGAUUGGUUAAAGCCCAGAUAGCUCUAGAGGAAGCAUCACAGCAGCUGGCUGAAAAAGAAAGGGAAAAGAAUCAGGGAUUUGAUUUUGAUUCCUUUAUCGCAGGAACUAUUCAACUUAGUUCACAACACGAGCCUACUGAUGUUGUUGAUAAAUUAAAUGACUUGAAUAGCUCAGUGUCCCAACUAGAAUUGAAAAGUUUGAUAUCAAAGUCAGUAAGUCGAGAAAAAGAGGAAAAAGGUAUGGCAAAUCUGGCUCAAUUAGAAGCCUUGUACCAGUCUUCUUGGGAUAGCCAGUUUGUGAGUAGUGGGGAGGACUGUUUUCUCAUAAGUCAGUUUUGUUGUGAGGUAAGGAAGGAUGAACAAAUUGCGAAGGAAAACACUUACACCAGUUACUUGGACAAGUUCUUUAGCAAGAAAGAAGAUACUGAAAUGCUAGAAACUGAGCCAGUAGAGGAUGGGAAGCUUGGAGAGAGAGGAAAUGAGGAAGGAUUUUUAAACAAGAGUGGGGAGUUCCUCUUUAACAAGCAGCUUGAAUCCUUAGGCAUCCCACAGUUUCACAGUCCAGUUGGGUCAUCAGUUAAUUCCAUACAGGCCACAUUAACACCUUCUGCCAUUAAAUCUUCCCCUCAAAUUCCUCAUAAAACAUACAGCAGCAUUCUGAAACAUCUGAACUAAAACACUCAGCAGACAUUUCUUUGUGUUCUUUAUGAAAUGUGUUUUGUCUUUUUUUAUUACUAGUGUUUAAAGUCAUUUUUUUACUUGAAUCAGAUGUUCUCAUUUAGUAAGAAUUUUAUUAGUUCUCGUUUUUAAAAUCCAGACUUUUUUUUUCCUACAUGUGAGAGAGUUUUCAUUUUAACUGGCAUGUCGUUUGCACACAAAAAUAAAGAACAAAAUAAUGCAAUGCAGGAGGAGACAAAAGAAAUGCACUAAGACAAGUAGAAACAUUCUCUCAUAGAACAAUGAUCUGUUUUACAGGAAACUAAUCUUGCCUUGAAAUUUACACAGUGAGACUGUACAUAAUUGCAUGAAAAUAUCUAUUUUUUUCCUAAAACAUUUUUCAUUCAUGAGUAUUUUCAAGUUUUUCAUACUGUACACAUUUCUUAAAACACAUGAUACCAGCAACUGAAAAUGAAUGCCGAAUUUGGUACACAUGUGUUAUCUACCUCAAGGUAACAAAAGUAUGUGGCAAAACAUAUACCACCCAUAGUGCUUCACAGUAUGCACUUCUAUUUAGCCAGCGUUUAUUGUAGUAAACUAUUCUUAAGACUCAUUCACCAUUUAUAAAUGUUCUGGUAUGCAUUCUUUAUAGUGAAGUGUUAAUACAUCACAUCUUAUUUAUUUUAGCAAAUCAGUAUAUUUUCUGUAUUUAAAAGUUAGUUUUUAAAAUUUAUUUGCAAAUACACUUUUUCCAUUUGGCACUAUGGUUUGUUGCCUACCUAGCUGAAUAUAUGUCAGCUUAUCCUAAGGCUUAAUUUACUUAAUGUACUUAAUUUACAUACGUGUUCAUUUUAAGUGCUCACUGUGUAUAGGAAUUUGUAUUUUGGAGGUGCUUGAUCUAUCUACAAAGAAAAAUUAGGAAUUACUUUAUUAUAAAAUGCUCCUAGAAGUCUUAAUUGUGUUUAUUUUUUAAAAAACUGUUAGACUUGUGUGCAUGGAAGUAAUUAAGGUACAUCAUUAUUGUAGUUUAAAAGUUGCACAUGAUAAGACAUUUUGUUUUUACUGUAUGUUUUUACUGAAUGAUCUAUUCCCCAUCCCAAGGCAAGCAUGAAUAAAAUUAGGUUAAAUGUAAAAAAAAAA